GGGUUAUAGAGCUUGGGGAGGAUUCGUAUGAAUCCCCUUGUUCGUGUGAUCCUUUCUACCGAACGGCGGGCCGUUCGGUAGUUUCUGCACGAAUUGCUGGAAGUCUGGAGGUCUCAGCGGUGUUUGCCUAGUCGAGUGUCCGAUUUUAGUUCCAGACACUCGACGGCAAAACACCGCUGUUCGGGAGUUUAAGAUGGCCGCCGCCACGUGUUCGUUUCCCGAAUGGCG